rnacentral:rRNA from 1 species
UGGGGAAUUUUCCGCAAUGGGCGAAAGCCUGAUGCAGCAACGCCGUGUGAGCGAGGAAGGUCUUCGGAUCGUAAAGCUCUGUUGUUGGGGACGAAGGGCGAAGGGUUAAUAGCCCCUAGCCUGACGGUACCCUUCGAGGAAGCCCCGGCUAACUACGUGCCAGCAGCCGCGGUAAUACGUAGGGGGCGAGCGUUGUCCGGAAUUAUUGGGCGUAAAGCGUCCGCAGGUGGUGAUGCAAGUCUGCUGUUAAAGAGUGUAGCUUAACUACAUAAAGGCGGUGGAAACUGCACCACUAGAGUACGUUCGGGGCAGAGGGAAUUCCUGGUGUAGCGGUGAAAUGCGUAGAUAUCAGGAAGAACACCGGUGGCGAAAGCGCUCUGCUAGGCCGUAACUGACACUGAGGGACGAAAGCUAGGGGAGCGAAUGGGAUUAGAUACCCGUGUAGUCC